ACCCACCCGACUGAGCCGACUGGAUUCUGCGCGGUAGAGAUUCAGCCCAGUGUCCUGGGGACGAGCGCCGGUGGUCAGGGGCGACUGGCAGACGACUUGGGACGAAUUUUCACCUCAGAUGAUCUAAAACGUGAACGGUCUGACAGAAAAGAUAUUUUCCGUGUCGGGAAGAUUUCUUACCGUAGCACCGAGUUUAUAGAUGCGAUCCAUCGUAUUAUCAAGACAACUCCAGCGAUAAACAAGUGACUGUCCCGUAUCGGGGCUUCGUGAUUUGACAACAGACACCGGAUCAUCAAUCGUGUCGGAUAUCAACAAACUGAGGGGAAUUUUCCGAGUGAUUUGUACAUGGAUACACGUUUCUAAGGCAACGUUAAUAGGUGACGUCAUUUUCAGACGACAGUACAAGAGAGAAGUGUGAGGAUGUUGCGCGGGAAGAAGAAAGGCGGGAAGACCAGUCCUGAGGAGGCGGAGUUGGACCGGGAGAUCACCAUCCUGCAGCAUCAGAGAGACCGGCUGCUGAAGAGGAAACAGCUGGUGGAUCUCAGGAAAGAGAUCGCCAUGUUGCAGAUCGAGACAGAACAGCUCGCACAGGGACAGGGACCGGGACCGGGCGGGUCGGAUCCUGACUUCGACACCGUGUCU